rnacentral:rRNA from 1 species
UGAGUAACACGUAUCCAACCUGCCGUCUACUCUUGGCCAGCCUUCUGAAAGGAAGAUUAAUCCAAGAUGGCAUCAUGAGUUCACAUGUCCGCAUGAUUAAAGGUAUUUUCCGGUAGACGAUGGGGAUGCGUUCCAUUAGAUAGUAGGCGGGGUAACGGCCCACCUAGUCAACGAUGGAUAGGGGUUCUGAGAGGAAGGUCCUCCACAUUGGAACUGAGACACGGUCCAA